UACGGGGGGGGCAAGCGUUGUUCGGAAUUACUGGGCGUAAAGGGCUCGUAGGCGGCCAACUAAGUCAGACGUGAAAUCCCUCGGCUUAACCGGGGAACUGCGUCUGAUACUGGAUGGCUAGAGGUUGGGAGAGGGAUGCGGAAUUCCUGGUGUAGCGGUGAAAUGCGCAGAUAUCAGGAAGAACACCCGUGGCGAAAGCGGCUCUCUGGAACGGUACUGACGCUGAGACGCGAAAGCGUGGGGAGCGAACAGG
rnacentral:rRNA from 1 species